rnacentral:rRNA from 1 species
GGACGAACGCUGGCGGCGUGCUUACCACAUGCAAGUCGAACGCUGAAGCUCAGCUUUUGUUGGGUGGAUGAGUGGCGAACGGGUGAGUAACACGUGAGUAACCUGCCCCCUUCUUUGGGAUAACGCCCGGAAACGGGUGCUAAUACUGGAUAUUCACUGGUCUUCGCAUGGGGGUUGGUGGAAAGGGUUUUUCUGGUGGGGGAUGGGCUCGCGGCCUAUCAGCUUGUUGGUGGGGUGAUGGCCUACCAAGGCUUUGACGGGUAGCCGGCCUGAGAGGGUGACCGGUCACAUUGGGACUGAGAUACGGCCCAGACUCCUACGGGAGGCAGAAGUGGGGAAUAUUGCACAAUGGGCGCAAGCCUGAUGCAGCGACGCGGCGUGAGGGAUGGAGGCCUUCGGGUUGUGAACCUCUUUCGCUCAUGGUCAAGCCGCAACAAUGGUUGUGGUGAGGGUAGUGGGUAAAGAAGCGCCGGCUAACUACGUG